rnacentral:tRNA from 1 species
GCCGACGUAGCUCAGCGGUAGAGCAACUGUCUUGUAAACAGUAGGUCGUCGGUUCGAAUCCGACCGUCGGCUCCU